CCAAAUCAUAAUAUACGGGAAAAUCACCUAAGAAGUCCCGGUUAAUCUUCUAAGUGGCUCUAUAUCAACGCAUUUGUGAUCAGUUUAUGCAUCAUCUAUUUUCGGGGGUUUCUAUCAUGGCAAAAAUUUGGCCCAUCGCUGGUUCACGGUAAAGCCACAAAUUUGGCCCAUCGCUGGUUCACGGUAAAGCCACAAAUUUGGCCCAUCGCUGGUUCACGGUAAAGCCACAAAUUUGGCCCAUCGCUGGUUCACGGUAAAGCCACAAAUUUGGCCCAUCGCUGGUUCACGGUAAAGCCACAAAUUUGGCCCAUCGCUGGUUCACGGUAAAGCCACAAAUUUGGCCCAUCGCUGGUUCACGGUAAAGCCACAAAUUUGGCCCAUCGCUGGUUCACGGUAAAGCCACAAAUUUGGCCCAUCGCUGGUUCACGGUAAAGCCACAAAUUUGGCCCAUCGCUGGUUCACGGUAAAGCCACAAAUUUGGCCCAUCGCUGGUUCAUGGUAAAGCCACAAAUUUGGCCCAUCGCUGCUGCUGGGUUAAUAUUAUGAGCCUUUAGCUUCCACUC